ACCUACGGGAGGCAGCAGUGAGGAAUAUUGGUCAAUGGCCGCAGGGCUGAACCAGCCAAGUCGCGUGAGGGAUGACGGUCCUAUGGAUUGUAAACCUCUUUUGUCAGGGAGCAAAGGGCGCCACGUGUGGCGUUUUGCGAGUACCUGAAGAAAAAGCAUCGGCUAACUCCGUGCCAGCAGCCGCGGUAAUACGGAGGAUGCUAGCGUUAUCCGGAUUUAUUGGGUUCAAAGGGUGCGCAGGCGGAAUGUCAAGUCAGCGGUAAAAUUGCGGGGCUCAACCCUGUCGAGCCGUUGAAACUGGCAGA
rnacentral:rRNA from 1 species